CAGUCGCCGCGGUAAUACGUAGGUGGCAAGCGUUGUCCGGAAUUAUUGGGCGUAAAGGGCUCGCGGGCGGUUUCUUAAGUCUGAUGUGAAAGCCCCCGGCUCAACCCGGGAGGGUCAUUGGAAACUGGGAAACUUGAGUGCAGAAGAGGAGAGUGGAAUUCCACGUGUAGCGGUGAAAUGCGUAGAGAUGUGGAGGAACACCAGUGGCGAAGGCGACUCUCUGGUCUGUAACUGACGCUGAGGAGCGAAAGCGUGGGGAGCGAACAGGAUUAGAUACCCGCGUAGUCCCUGUCUCUUAUCC
rnacentral:rRNA from 1 species